rnacentral:rRNA from 1 species
AUUGAACGCUGGCGGCAGGCUUAACACAUGCAAGUCGAACGAGUCGCUGACGGGUGAGUAAUGUCUCGGAAACUGCCUGAUGGACGGGGAUAACUACUGGAAACGGUACCUAAUACCUCAUUCCAUCAGCUGUGCCCAGAUGGGUUUAGAUUGUUGGUGGGGUAACGGCUCACAAAGGCGACGAUCCCUAGCUGGUCUGAGAGGAUGACCAGCCAGACUGGACCUGGGACACGGUCCAGACUCCUACGGGCGGCAACAGUGGGGAAUAUUGCCAAAUGGGCGAAAGCCUGCUGCAGCAAUGCCGCGUGUAUGAGGAAGGCCUUCGGGUUGUAAAGUACUUUCAGCGGGAAGGCGUUACCCGCAGAAGAAGCACCGGCUAACUCCGUGCCAGCAGCCGCGGUAAUUC